AGAGUUUGAUCCUGGCUCAGAUUGAACGCUGGCGGCAGGCUAACACAUGCAAGUCGAGCGGAUGAGUGGAGCUUGCUCCAUGAUUCAGCGGCGGACGGGUGAGUAAUGCCUAGGAAUCUGCCUGGUAGUGGGGGACAACGUUUCGAAAGGAACGCUAAUACCGCAUACGUCCUACGGGAGAAAGCAGGGGACCUUCGGGCCUUGCGCUAUCAGAUGAGCCUAGGUCGGAUUAGCUAGUUGGUGAGGUAACGGCUCACCAAGGCGACGAUCCGUAACUGGUCUGAGAGGAUGAUCAGUCACACUGGAACUGAGACACGGUCCAGACUCCUACGGGAGGCAGCAGUGGGGAAUAUUGGACAAUGGGCGAAAGCCUGAUCCAGCCAUGCCGCGUGUGUGAAGAAGGUCUUCGGAUUGUAAAGCACUUUAAGUUGGGAGGAAGGGCAGUAAGUUAAUACCUUGCUGUUUUGACGUUACCGACAGAAUAAGCACCGGCUAACUUCGUGCCAGCAGCCGCGGUAAUACGAAGGGUGCAAGCGUUAAUCGGAAUUACUGGGCGUAAAGCGCGCGUAGGUGGUUCAGCAAGUUGGAUGUGAAAGCCCCGGGCUCAACCUGGGAACUGCAUCCAAAACUACUGAGCUAGAGUACGGUAGAGGGUGGUGGAAUUUCCUGUGUAGCGGUGAAAUGCGUAGAUAUAGGAAGG
rnacentral:rRNA from 1 species